rnacentral:rRNA from 1 species
AUUGAACGCUGGCGGCAUGCCUUACACAUGCAAGUCGAACGGCAGCACGGGGGCAACCCUGGUGGCGAGUGGCGAACGGGUGAGUAAUACAUCGGAAUGUACCCAGUAGUGGGGGAUAACUAGUCGAAAGAUUAGCUAAUACCGCAUACGCACUAUGGUGGAAAGCGGGGGAUCGCAAGACCUCGCGCUAUUGGAGCAGCCGAUGUCCGAUUAGGUAGUUGGUGGGGUAAAGGCCUACCAAGCCUGCGAUCGGUAACUGGUCUGAGAGGACGACCAGUCACACUGGGACUGAGACACGGCCCAGACUCCUACGGGAGGCAGCAGUGGGGAAUUUUGGACAAUGGGGGAAACCCUGAUCCAGCAAUGCCGCGUGUGUGACGAAGGCCUUCGGUUGUAAGCACUUUGUCGGAACGAACGGACGCUUCUAAUACAGAACGCUAAUGACGGUACCCGCAGAAUAAGCACCGGCUAACUACGUGCCAGCAGCCGCGGUAAUGCUACGU